UAAACUGAAGAGUUUGAUCAUGGCUCAGAUUGAACGCUGGCGGCAGGCCUAACACAUGCAAGUCGAGCGUGAAAGCACUUCGGUGUGAGUAGAGCGGCGGACGGGUGAGUAACGCGUAGAAAUCUACCUAGUAGUGGGGGACAACCUGGUGAAAACCAGGCUAAUACCGCAUACGUCCUACGGGAGAAAGCAGGGGACCUUCGGGCCUUGCGCUAUUAGAUGAGUCUGCGUUGGAUUAGCUAGUUGGUAGGGUAAAAGCCUACCAAGGCGACG
rnacentral:rRNA from 1 species